GGCAGGGCGGCCACUGUGGCGGGGCUCUUUCCCCGUUUCGCCUCAGCUACCCCUCAGCUCCGGUAGUCGCCAGUCCGGGGUCGUCGCCGUUUGGGGCGGGAGCUGCUCGGCCCCGCCGCCGUCCCCGUCGCCGCUUCCGGGUCCAGGCCCCUCGGGCCGCCUGCCGCCGUCAUGAGGCUGCGGGUGCGGCUUCUGAAGCGGACCUGGCCGCUGGAGGUGCCCGAGACGGAGCCGACGCUGGGGCAUUUGCGCUCGCACCUGAGGCAGUCCCUGCUGUGCACCUGGGGGUACAGUUCUAAUACCCGAUUUACAAUUACAUUGAACUACAAGGAUCCCCUCACUGGAGAUGAAGAGACCUUGGCUUCAUAUGGGAUUGUUUCUGGGGACUUGAUAUGUUUGAUUCUUCAAGAUGACAUUCCAGCGCCUAAUAUACCUUCAUCCACAGAUUCAGAGCAUUCUUCACUCCAGAAUAAUGAGCAACCCUCUUUGGCCACCAGCUCCAAUCAGACUAGCAUGCAGGAUGAACAACCAAGUGAUUCAUUCCAAGGACAGGCAGCCCAGUCUGGUGUUUGGAAUGACGACAGUAUGGGCCUAGUCAAAAUUUUGAAGCUGAGUCAAUUCAAGAUAAUGCGCAUAUGGCAGAGGGCACAGGUUUCUAUCCCUCAGAACCCAUGCUCUGUAGUGAAUCGGUGGAAGGGCAAGUGCCACAUUCAUUAGAGACCUUGUAUCAAUCAGCUGACUGUUCUGAUGCCAAUGAUGCCUUGAUAGUGUUGAUACAUCUUCUCAUGUUGGAGUCAGGUUACAUACCUCAGGGCACCGAAGCCAAAGCACUGUCCAUGCCGGAGAAGUGGAAGUUGAGCGGGGUGUAUAAGCUGCAGUACAUGCAUCCUCUCUGCGAGGGCAGCUCCGCUACUCUCACCUGUGUGCCUUUGGGAAACCUGAUUGUUGUAAAUGCUACACUAAAAAUCAACAAUGAGAUUAGAAGUGUGAAAAGAUUGCAGCUGCUACCAGAAUCUUUUAUUUGCAAAGAGAAACUAGGGGAAAAUGUAGCCAACAUAUACAAAGAUCUUCAGAAACUCUCUCGCCUCUUUAAAGACCAGCUGGUGUAUCCUCUUCUGGCUUUUACCCGACAAGCACUGAACCUACCAGAUGUAUUUGGGUUGGUCGUCCUCCCAUUGGAACUGAAACUACGGAUCUUCCGACUUCUGGAUGUUCGUUCCGUCUUGUCUUUGUCUGCGGUUUGUCGUGACCUCUUUACUGCUUCAAAUGACCCACUCCUGUGGAGGUUUUUAUAUCUGCGUGAUUUUCGAGCUGUACAGGAAGAGGCACAUACAAAGAAAAGAAUCCCCGAAAGGGCGGUUUGUGAUGCUCCUGCCAUCGUCAACUCACACCAUUCCAUUCUAUCCCAACCCCUUGCACCCUAGGCCAUUUCCUAGCUCCCGCCUUCCUCCAGGAAUUAUCGGGGGUGAAUAUGACCAAAGACCAACACUUCCCUAUGUUGGAGACCCAAUCAGUUCACUCAUUCCUGGUCCUGGGGAGACGCCCAGCCAGUUUCCUCCACUGAGACCACGCUUUGAUCCAGUUGGCCCACUUCCAGGACCUAACCCCAUCUUGCCAGGGCGAGGCGGCCCCAAUGACAGAUUUCCCUUUAGACCCAGCAGGGGUCGGCCAACUGAUGGCCGGCUGUCAUUCAUGUGAUUGAUUUGUAAUUUCAUUUCUGGAGCUCCAUUUGUUUUUGUUUCUAAACUACAGAUGUCAACUCCUUGGGGUGCUGAUCUCGAGUGUUAUUUUCUGAUUGUGGUGUUGAGAGUUGCACUCCCAGAAACCUUUUAAGAGAUACAUUUAUAGCCCUAGGGGUGGUAUGACCCAAAGGUUCCUCUGUGACAAGGUUGGCCUUGGGAAUAGUUGGCUGCCAAUCUCCCUGCUCUUGGUUCUCCUCUAGAUUGAAGUUUGUUUUCUGAUGCUGUUCUUACCAGAUUAAAAAAAAGUGUAAAUU
rnacentral:lncRNA from 1 species